GGUGUUUUUGUGCUCUCGUACGCUCCUCUGGAGCUGCCGGCAGGCCUUCUCUAGAUGUCUCUGGAGCUCUUGAUUCUUCUUCUGGAGCUUGGCCAGAGACUCAGUGCAUUCACUCUGCUUCCUCUGAGCUGUCAGACCUGCUGCAGGGAGAGGGAGCGUGAGGAGGGAAGAUCCAGCAGUGUGUGAGAUCUCCCAGACUCUGGAUCUAAUGGUUGCUGGUGCACUGCUGAUCUUCUGUUCUUCUCCACUCCUCCUGCUCUCCACUUCCUCCUGCAGCACCUCCUUUAGUUCACUGAGCAUCUCCUCCCGCAGUCUGCAGAACAACAGUGCUCCUUUAAAACAUACAUUCAGAGCGGCUUGUAGUUUCUGCUCCUGCUCUCUCUGGAGCUGCGCCCUGAGGCGGGACAUCUCCUCCUGCUUGUCUCUGAACCAAACGUCUCGGGCUGCAGCCAGCUCUGCUUUCAGGAGGGCAGCCUGCUCCUGGCACAGGUGCUCCAGUCGAGUGCUGAGGGUAAACACUUCCUCCUGGAGCUCCCCGUUUCUCACGUUACACUGCUCCAGUUCAGUGCAUUUGGUGUGGAGCGUGUCCUGCCACCUUUCCUCCACUGCCUUCACAGCAGAGGACAUCUGCGAUCAGAAGGCUGCUGUUGUAUUCUGGGAGGGAGGUCAAGUCCUGGAGCCAUCGAGAACGAGCACCUUCAACCUAUAAGAGCUGUAAACACCUGGAGUGUGAUGUCAUCAGUGUGUUUCUGCUGCAUCUCUCUCUGAGCGUCUCGUACUGCUUCCUCCACGGCUCUGGCCUGCGCCGUCACAGCCUCCUGCUGCAGGGUCUCCUUCUGAGCGCUGAGCCGGUCCUCCAGCUCCUCCACUGAAAUCAGCUGACCUGCCGCUCCCUCACGGGAGUCUGACCGCCUGGCCUUCCUGACCUCUUCCUCAGCCUCCUGUAACCGCUGAGCCCAGGACUGCUCCAACUGGCACAAAGACAGACAGAAAGACAAAUCAAAGACAUGCACACAGACAAAAAAGGACAAGAUGACAAAAUAUAUCUAUAUAAACAAAAACAGACAGAUGAAACCAAAGAUACAGGCAAAAAAUAUGCAGACAGACAGAUAAAAUAUAUAAAGGCAAAAUAUAAGAGCAUCUGACCUACAGUCAAACCAAAAUUUAUUCAGACACCUUCAACAUUUCUCACAUUAUCAAGGUUUAUUUCCUAUGGUUUAGAAAAUGGUAAUAAAAUAUGACAAGAACAAAUUCAUCUUGAUAAUGUCAGAUAACUUUGGAUUUGGUUGAGUUGCUGUCAGCUGUUAAAUUUAAGUACACAAUUAAACAAUACCAAUUUAGGUCAACCAAUUACUAAGCCAUGCUUAAUUUUGUUCAGUCUGGUGUGCAAUUAAAUAAAAACACUUCAGCAAAACAUGGUUAGGUCAAUGUGUCUGAAUAAUUUUACUGUAUGAAGAAUCUUUGGGUAUAGUAUGUCACAGUUUACUUUAUUUUGCUAUCCUCACUUACAUAAAUGAACUAUAGUGUCCUGUACCCACUAGUAAAAAAUAUCAAAAGUUAUAUCUGGUGUCUGAAUAGUUUUUGGUUUGAAUGGUAAAACAGUGAGAUAGUAAGAUCAUGCUGGCUUGACACGACUGAUGUAAACGACCCAUCAUCACUAACCGUCUCCUGCUCCUGCUGCCAGCUCUUUCUGGCCGUUUCCAGCUGCUCUCUGACCCGCAGCUCAGUCUCAGCCUGUGGGUCUGUCUUCCACUGGGCUUUGAGCCGAGACACGUCCUCCUGAUGCUGACGCUCCAGAUUAGACCUCAGUCUCUCCAGAGCAGCCUCGCUCUCCUCUCGCCUCUUUAACUGAAACACAUGUAUAUGAUUAAUAACUUAAUAAAAUAAUACAUUUCAUUAAAAAUAUAAAUGUCAAUCAAUAAAUUAAUGUAUUCACUAUCUAGUGCUUACCUCAUUUUCUUUCAAUCUCCUCUGUUCUUCCUCCAGCUUGUCUUUCUCUUUGCAAACAGAAAUGUAGCAUUCCUGCACAGCUAACACCUCCUGUCUGAGAUCAGCCAGCUCUGACCUGUGGAUGGACCCAGUGUUAAUAGAAGUCAGCUUCUGCACACUGUAUGAAGUUUAUUAUGAAGGUGGAGGUGCAGUGCAGUACUGGAGCUGUUGGAGGUGCUGCUGAUGCUGGCGGGUGAGUUGCUCUAUGUGAGCCGUGUGCUCCUGCAUCAGCUCCGUCCGGACACCAUUCACCACGUCAUCUCUGAACUGCUGCCGAGUCCUCUCAUCCCUGCACACACAGAGCAUGUCACCGAUGAAACACCGCAGGAGGUGCACCAGAGGGGAAUUAUCUCUCACUUUAGCUAAACGAAUGGAUGUGUGACCUCUCUGCUGCUUCCUGUUUCUCCUGGUCCAGCUCCUGGAUCAUCUCCCUCAUCUUGGUGCAGAGCUCAGAGUUGGCUGCCUUCACCUUCUCCUCACUCUGCUUCAGCUCCUGAUUCCUCUUCUCCAGAGCCUGCCGUUCACAGCUGGGGUUGACUAGUGUAACAGCUAGCUAACUCAAUCAUGACUUUAUAAAACAUGGAUCCAGAUCAGUGUCAUUUUAAUAUUAUUUACAAAUUAUCAUAGUCUUUAUUAAUAUUCAGAAAUAGUUUUGUUUUUAUUUAUAUUUUUAGUCAUUUAUGUCCUUUUGUCAUUAAUUGUGACUCAGGCAGCGCUGCAGCUCGCUCUUCAGCUCUCGCACCACGUCCUCCUUCAGCAGGGUCGAGUCUCCUGCUUCCGCAAUAUGAGGUUUGCUGGAAAACAAAGUGAUUGUGAGAUUAUAAGAAGUUUGAAAUAGGAACACUAUAGCAAUACAGUUUGGAUUGUCAUUGUAUAAUGUUACGUUACCUGUGCAUCCGUCCAUUUCUCCACUUGGACUUCUUGAUGCCCAGGUCCAUGUAGGACUCAGACAGCUGCUUCUCCCAGUCUCCAUUAGACUCCAGGGCUCCAUUUUUAAAGGCAGACUCAUACAGAUUUAUCUGCUCCUUCAGUUCAGUCAACUCUUCCUGUUGAGAGAAGAAACACAUGGGCUGUUUUAUGGACAUUUUUAAUGUUUCCCAUUAUUUAAAAAGCUGUCAAACAUUAGUGGACGGACUGACCUGCAGGGCUUUGCUGAUGUCUUGGCUGAUAGCUCGGGUAGACUGGGCCUGCUGGAGCUUCAGCUGUAACUGACUCAUCUCUUGAACAGAGCCUGCAGAGAAUAAAAGAAGCUUGGAUAAAGAUGUUACAGACACAGGGGAGACAAAACUUCAAUGAUUUUAUUAAGGGAAAGACUGAAAACAUGAUUUUCCUUCUACUUUUAAAGGUGACAUAUCAUGAAAAUCUGUCUUUUUCAGGUUUUAAGUGCAACAUUCAGGUCUACCAAUCAAGGAAAAUGUGAAAAAGAUUAACCCAGUAACUUUGUUUUGGUAAGCUUUUUUCUGCAAGCAUCUGAAAAAACCGCCCCUUAAUCUGUAAUAGGUUUCCACCCACGGAGCAGAGUUGCCAAGUCUGAGUAUUAUACGUGACAUUGGGCUUGUUUUUUUUUGUAAAGUUGCAUGAAAAAAAUCCCUGGUCAUGGUUUUUUGGGCUUAUUUAAAAAAAUAUGGUUGCUUGUUAGAGAAAUCUGACAAGAAAUUUUGUUUCUUUAUUUAUGUUCGCUGUAUUCUCCAAUGCAUUGACUGACUCUCUGUCUGCUCGCAGUUAAUAGCCAACCAAUGCAAUAAUAUAAGUGCUGCAGUGUAACCUGACAAAUGUUCACCCCCUCCUCCCACACUGGAAGAAAAAAAAAAAAAAAAAAAAUCACAUUACAAAAAGAAGGUGUGUGACGCUAUAAUCUGUUUUCUUUCUUUAGCCUUAAUUUUUAAUUUCUACAAUUGUUUUUGUAAUGCAUUUAUUAUCACGGGCUACGUAGAAAGAAAAAAAAAAAAAAAAAAUAACACAUUCAAAAAGAAGGUGUGUGACGCUAUAAUCUGUUUUCUUUCUUUUAGCCUAAUUUUUAAUUUCUACAAUGUUUUUGUAAUGCAUUUAUUAUCACGGGCUGUAAUUAAAAAACAAGUAGUCCUAUACUAAUACUAAGAGUAUAUACAUUUGGUUCGAACAGCCUAUAUUUUAGCAGGCUAUACAUAUGUGGCUAUGUUUCAGCUCCCCUUUGAAGCUCUUGUGUUUUUUCUCCUUUUUCAUCUCUCCAAUCCUAUUCUGUUCACAGGGGACUGGAGAUGAGUUUUGUUUCCACUUUGUUGUAGUUUGCAAUUCCUGAAUGAAACAGCCUUUGAACGAAUCAACUCAUAAAGACAUCUACUGCCACCUGCUGGUAGUUUUAGUUUCUUCUUUAGAGUAUCAUUUCAAAAAAAAUUAACAUAAUAAUAGAUAAAUACAGUAAUA
rnacentral:lncRNA from 1 species